rnacentral:rRNA from 1 species
GACGAACGCUGGCGGCGUGCCUAACACAUGCAAGUCGAACGGACUGCGAGGAGCUUGCUCCUCAAAGUUAGUGGCGGACGGGUGAGUAACGCGUGAGUAACCUGCCUUACAGAGGGGGAUAACGUUUGGAAACGAACGCUAAUACCGCAUAACAUAUUAUGAGGGCAUCCUCGUAAUAUCAAAGGAGCAAUCCGCUGUAAGAUGGACUCGCGUCCAAUUAGAUAGUUGGUGGGGUAACGGCCCACCAAGUCGACGAUUGGUAGCCGGACUGAGAGGUUGAACGGCCACAUUGGGACUGAGAUACGGUCCAGACUCCUACGGGAGGCAGCAGUGGGGAAUAUUGGGCAAUGGGCGCAAGCCUGACCCAGCAACGCCGUGUGAAGGAAGAAGGUCUUCGGAUUGUAAACUUUUGUCUUAUGGGACGGAUAGUGACGGUACCAUAGGAGGAAGGUCACGACUAACUACGUAG